rnacentral:rRNA from 1 species
GGGUUGUGAGGUUAAGCGACUAAGCGUACACGGUGGAUGCCCUGGCAGUCAGAGGCGAUGAAGGACGUGCUAAUCUGCGAUAAGCGUCGGUGAGGUGAUAUGAACCGUUAUAACCGGCGAUUUCCGAAUGGGGAAACCCAGUGUGUUUCGACACACUAUCAUUAACUGAAUCCAUAGGUUAAUGAGGCGAACCGGGGGAACUGAAACAUCUAAGUACCCCGAGGAAAAGAAAUCAACCGAGAUUCCCCCAGUAGCGGCGAGCGAACGGGGAGGAGCCCAGAGCCUGAAUCAGUGUGUGUGUUAGUGGAAGCGUCUGGAAAGGCGCGCGAUACAGGGUGACAGCCCCGUACACAAAAAUGCACAUAUUGUGAGCUCGAUGAGUAGGGCGGGACACGUGGUAUCCUGUCUGAAUAUGGGGGGACCAUCCUCCAAGGCUAAAUACUCCUGACUGACCGAUAGUGAACCAGUACCGUGAGGGAAAGGCGAAAAGAACCCCGGCGAGGGGAGUGAAAAAGAACCUGAAACCGUGUACGUACAAGCAGUGGGAGCCUCUUUAUGGGGUGACUGCGUACCUUUUGUAUAAUGGGUCAGCGACUUAUAUUCUGUAGCAAGGUUAACCGAAUAGGGGAGCCGAAGGGAAACCGAGUCUUAACUGGGCGUUAAGUUGCAGGGUAUAGACCCGAAACCCGGUGAUCUAGCCAUGGGCAGGUUGAAGGUUGGGUAACACUAACUGGAGGACCGAACCGACUAAUGUUGAAAAAUUAGCGGAUGACUUGUGGCUGGGGGUGAAAGGCCAAUCAAACCGGGAGAUAGCUGGUUCUCCCCGAAAGCUAUUUAGGUAGCGCCUCGUGAAUUCAUCUCCGGGGGUAGAGCACUGUUUCGGCAAGGGGGUCAUCCCGACUUACCAACCCGAUGCAAACUGCGAAUACCGGAGAAUGUUAUCACGGGAGACACACGGCGGGUGCUAACGUCCGUCGUGAAGAGGGAAACAACCCAGACCGCCAGCUAAGGUCCCAAAGUCAUGGUUAAGUGGGAAACGAUGUGGGAAGGCCCAGACAGCCAGGAUGUUGGCUUAGAAGCAGCCAUCAUUUAAAGAAAGCGUAAUAGCUCACUGGUCGAGUCGGCCUGCGCGGAAGAUGUAACGGGGCUAAACCAUGCACCGAAGCUGCGGCAGCGACACUAUGUGUUGUUGGGUAGGGGAGCGUUCUGUAAGCCUGUGAAGGUGGCCUGUGAGGGUUGCUGGAGGUAUCAGAAGUGCGAAUGCUGACAUAAGUAACGAUAAAGCGGGUGAAAAGCCCGCUCGCCGGAAGACCAAGGGUUCCUGUCCAACGUUAAUCGGGGCAGGGUGAGUCGACCCCUAAGGCGAGGCCGAAAGGCGUAGUCGAUGGGAAACAGGUUAAUAUUCCUGUACUUGG